GGACUCUAAGAAAUGUCAGGACGAGCUCCUGGCUGCUGCUUGGUGGGCUUAACAGAGGAGCUUUCUGAUGCCCAAGGAUGGAUUUCUAAAACAAACAAACAAAAAAUCCGAUCUGUGAAGAUUUAGGAAAGGAAGCAGUGACUACCAGUAACCUGCAUGGAUUUUUGAUAAAGAAGUCAUUCCACACUAACCUCAUCUCUUUUUUGGCAUUAUUACUAGUCUGAUAAAUAAAGGAGUGCAACAGACAUGGUAUCUUUGGAUUUCGUAAGUCUUUGCGCCCAUUGGAUUCAUGAAGAAUUGCAUAGAGAGAGAGCCGAUUGGAUGUGAAAACAGAAACGGCACUUUUCGUAAAAAUUCUGCCAAAAUAAAUGGAGC
rnacentral:lncRNA from 1 species